UUUUAGAGUUUGGGAUCUGGCUCAGAACGAACGCUGGCGGCAUGCCUAACACAUGCAAGUCGAACGAGACCUUCGGGUCUAGUGGCGCACGGGUGCGUAACGCGUGGGAAUCUGCCCUUGGGUUCGGAAUAACAGUUAGAAAUGACUGCUAAUACCGGAUGAUGUCUUCGGACCAAAGAUUUAUCGCCCAAGGAUGAGCCCGCGUAGGAUUAGCUAGUUGGUGAGGUAAAAGCUCACCAAGGCGACGAUCCUUAGCUGGUCUGAGAGGAUGAUCAGCCACACUGGGACUGAGACACGGCCCAGACUCCUACGGGAGGCAGCAGUGGGGAAUAUUGGACAAUGGGCGAAAGCCUGAUCCAGCAAUGCCGCGUGAGUGAUGAAGGCCUUAGGGUUGUAAAGCUCUUUUACCCGGGAUGAUAAUGACAGUACCGGGAGAAUAAGCCCCGGCUAACUC
rnacentral:rRNA from 1 species